rnacentral:other from 2 species
CACAAGCUACGAUGUACGUAUUUUACUAAGUUUUAACCUCUAAAUAGAUAAUAGGGAGUUUUACAUUGAAGCUCUAAUGUCGAGCCGCCAUAGUGUAGCGGAAGACAGGAAGGUUUCUGCAAACACCCACUUAGUGAAGUGGUGGUUUAAAACUUUUUAUUACAAAUACGGCAUUUGUGGCUGCUGA